rnacentral:rRNA from 1 species
AUUGAACGCUGGCGGCAGGCCUAACACAUGCAAGUCGAACGAGCGGCGGACGGGUGAGUAAUGUCUGGGAAUCUGCCCGAUAGAGGGGGAUAACUACUGGAAACGGUAGCUAAUACCGCAUACUAUCGGAUGCGCCCAUAUGGGAUUAGCUAGUAGGUGGGGUAAAGGCUCACCUAGGCGACGAUCUCUAGCUGGUCUGAGAGGAUGACCAGCCACACUGGGACGGAGACACGGCCCAGACUCCUACGUGAGGCAGCAGUGGGGAAUAUUGCACAAUGGGCGCAAGCCUGAUGCAGCCAUGCCGCGUGUAUGAAGAAGGCCUGCGGGUUGUAAAGUACUUUCAGCGGGGAGGCGUUACCCGCAGAAGAAGCACCGGCUAACUCCGUGCCAGCAGCCGCGGUAAUUC